GCCGUGCGAGCGCAAUCUGCCUGCCUUGGAGAUCCCUCUAUCCGAAAGAUCAGUUCCAUUUCCGGGACCACCCUCUCAGGAUUCCUCUGGGAACCCAGCCGCCGGGCACCGCUCCCCGCUUUCCUCUGGGCUCCAGAAUGACCUACGCCAAGCACAGAGCAGUCCCCAGCAUGGCUGCCGCGUUCCGGUUUCUUUGUCAAUGUGAAGCGUCCUUGUUGCCGGUCGCGUUGCCAUCCCAACGCCCUUUCUGUGCUCUCGGAGUGGCCAGCAGGGGGAGCUACGCGGCCGUUUCCGAGCCCCAGGCGGGGCUUUGUGACCGGCCAGGGCUUCUCCUAAGGAGUCCUAAGGACAGUACCUGUGGAUCUUAACGUUAGGGAAGAUAGAAACCGUCCUGGGCAUGGCAUGGAGAUUCACUGGGUACUUCUGCAGAUAGAACCUUAGGAGUCAGAAAGCUGGAUGUUCUAGCUGUCGAGAGCUUUGCCGUCAGACAUCCCUCUGAUGAGAUUUCUUAGUUACCUUACCUCCAGCGAGUGGCUUAAACUCUUCCAGGCACGGUUUCUUCAUACGAAAAACUGGAGAAUCCAAGCUGCCCUCAGGGGGAUGCUGGAAGAGUCUCUGUGUGGCUAAUAGAGAUCUCAGCCACGGAGGCAUUCGGGGAAUGCGAGGUAUCAUCGCUCAGUGAAGGCUGAGCCAAUUUCGAAGCACCCCGACCAGAAUUCUCUCUCUCGGCUCUUUUCUCUCUCCUGGCCCGAUGGCCUCCUUUUCUCUCCCUUCAGCUCUGCAUUCUCUCCCUGCCUUUCCUGCCUGUAGCUGAGGCCUGGAACCCACGCCGUGGACCUCAUCCUGGGCGGCGUCUAUCCUCCCCGUUCCUGGAUACCUGGAGCGGCUGCACCAGUUUGCAUUCCCACCAACAGCGCAAGAGGGUUCCCGUUUCUCCGCAUCCUCGCCAGCAUCUAGCGUCUCCUGAUUUGUUCAUUUCACAGCCUCACCUCCACUUGGGCACCUGUUCAGGUCUGGGUUGACCCGGGUAGUUUGGGUUGGGGCACAUGUGGAAGUCUCCAUGCAUUCUGUCCUCCGAAUCUCAAACGACGCUGCCUUUGUUCUGCAACUGGAGGGCCGGUCUCAAUGCUCUCUGUCCUCAGGGAUAGGUUUCCUUUGUUUCCAUUUGAAACGCCGCGUCUCUUAGUGGACGGAUAAAAGCCCUGUGCGUGGAAUGACUAACUUGUUUUGGCCCUGGAAGUCCUAUGUCCCUGCAAAACCGUCAGUCCCAGGUGGGGCCGGCCACCCCGUGGGACAGAGCAUAAUCGAUGUUGGCCGCACGCAGACAUUUCUCGCAGCACCUGAUGAAUGGGGGAUGCGGGCCAAGCUGCUGUCUUCCAGAAUUUGGCAGUGAGAGGGGUCAAAGGCGGACCUCAAUCCAAAAGAAGACACCUUGAGGGGCGCCUGGGUGGCUCAGUCAGUUGAGCGUCCGACUUCGGCUCAGGUCAUGAUCUCGCACUUCGUGAGU